UCGAGAUUUUUGCCUUCGGGUACAAUUGAGACAGGUGGUGCAUGGUUGUCGUCAGCUCGUGUCGUGAGAUGUUGGGUUAAGUCCCGCAACGAGCGCAACCCUUGUGUUUAGUUGCAAACAGGUCAAGCUGUGCACUCUAGACAGACUGCCGUGGACAACACGGAGGAAGGUGGGGAUGACGUCAAAUCAUCAUGCCCCUUAUGAUCUGGGCUACACACGUGCUACAAUGGCCGGUACAACGGGCAGCGAAGGAGCGAUCCGGAGCGAAUCCUAAAAAGCCGGUCCCAGUUCGGAUUGCAGGCUGAAACUCGCCUACAUGAAGUUGGAGUUGCUAGUAAUCGCGAAUCAGAAUGUCGCGGUGAAUGCGUUCCCGGGUCUU
rnacentral:rRNA from 1 species